UACGUAGGUGGCAAGCGUUGUCCGGAAUUAUUGGGCGUAAAGCUCUCGCAGGCGGUCCUUUAAGUCUGAUGUGAAAGCCCACGGCUCAACCGUGGAGGGUCAUUGGAAACUGGGGGACUUGAGUACAGAAGAGAAGAGUGGAAUUCCACGUGUAGCGGUGAAAUGCGUAGAGAUGUGGAGGAACACCAGUGGCGAAGGCGACUCUUUGGUCUGUAACUGACGCUGAGGCGCGAAAGCGUGGGGAGCAAACAGG
rnacentral:rRNA from 1 species